UACGGAGGGGGCUAGCGUUGUUCGGAAUUACUGGGCGUAAAGCGCACGUAGGCGGUUAUUCAAGUCAGAGGUGAAAGCCUGGAGCUCAACUCCAGAACUGCCUUUGAAACUAGAUAGCUAGAAUCAUGGAGAGGCGGGUGGAAUUCCGAGUGUAGAGGUGAAAUUCGUAGAUAUUCGGAAGAACACCAGUGGCGAAGGCGGCCCGCUGG
rnacentral:rRNA from 1 species